rnacentral:RNase_P_RNA from 1 species
GCGGAGGGCUGGAUGGCCGCUUGCGGGCGGGGUGACCUGCUUCGUGGGAGGAAAGUCCGGACUCCACAAGGUAACGGUGCCGGGUAACGCCCGGGCGGAGCAAUCCGACGGAAAGCGCCACAGAGAAGAGACCCCCUUCGCAUGCGAAGGGAAGGGUGAAACGGUGGGGUAAGAGCCCACCGCGGGACGGGUAACCGGACCGGCAUGGCAAGCCCCACCGGGAGCAAUGCCGAAUAGGGAUCGCGCAUGGGCCGCCUUGGCCCCGACGAUCCGGGUAGGCAGCUGGAGGCGCGCUGGCAACAGCGCGUUCAGAGGAAUGGUCAUCCAGAGGGAGAAAUCCCUUGGACAGAAUCCGGCUUAUAGGCUCUCCGCGCAU